GAACUUCACUAGACAUAGCCAUUCUGAAAUAGAAAUAAAAUUUCUAAAAGAAGGGCACAAUAUACAUCAGAAUAAAUUGCAUUCAAUAAAAUUCCUUUGGGAAAUUUAGGACUAAAGGUCUAAAAUCAUGAUGGUAGAAAGGUUAUCUACUUUUGUUGGACAUGAUAACUCAUACAGGCAAUUUAAUCUUAAUAUGCAUAGGUUUCUUGAUCAUAGAAUUAAAAAAAAAAAUUAAAAAGAAAAGA
rnacentral:misc_RNA from 1 species